AGAGUGCUUUACUGAAAUUUGAGCUCUCUGAAAUAUUGACAUUAAAGAACUAGUUAUUGGGUUAAUAACUAUGCUUUUCCUCUAGAUGGUUCAUUUGAAAAGAAAACUGAAUGUAUUUUAAUAUUCAGAAAAUGAUGUUAGCCUGCUGCAAUAAAAUAACCACAUCUCCGCAGUGUGCUUGCUGCCUUGGCUAAAUCCAUGUAGUGGCACAUUCUCAAGGGAACAGAGCUGGGAAGUUUUCCAUAUACCCAAUGGGAGGCCAUCCAUCAUGGCGAGGAGCGUGUUUGUGAAAGGAAAGAAAACAAAAGUCAGACCACCUCAAGAUGGCUUAUCAAAAGCCUAGAUGCUAAAGCUGAUGUAUUCAUUGUGGGGCAUUUAUAAAGAAAACCAAGCCAUCUCAUGAACCAGAUAUACUUGCUACUCCAAAAGUGAAAUUUGAUAUUAGUACUUCAGAUUAUUAAUAUUGAGAAGCCUCUUCGGAGCCCCUGACAAAUUGCUUGGUCGUUUACUGCAGACCAUUUGGAAGCUCUUUUUAAGUGGCACAAUCUUUUUUCUAACAAUGGAAAAGGAAAAAGAAUACAGAUGUUUCUGUUCUGUCCUGUUUUUGAUAGCCUCAUAGCUUGCAGGACCUGUCAUUCUAGAACUUGCUGAAUUUGAGGCUGUGUUCCCUCCUCACCCUUUAGGUUUACUAAUUCAAAAAGGGUCAGUGAAACUUUCUAAACUGCACAUUUCUUUAGGAUGCAAAAAUUGACACUAAGUUUCUGAAAGUAAUUUGAGAUUCUUCUCAAGGAUUGGAAAGAGCCAGUUCUUGAGAGUGAGCCAUUAUUUUUUCAUAUUCUUUGUGAAGAUAUCAGACUCUGUAAUUUAUUUUCAGUUUAUUUUGGUUUUUCUCCAUAAAAAUUACCUUGCCAGCUAAGGAUAUAUCAGGAUAUUUCAAUAGCCUACUGAGAAAAAAUUUACGUACACACUUUUACAAAUGAAUUAUACUUCCAAUAUUAGGGUAACAUGUUGCUAGAUGCAGUAAACUUUAGGUGAUUUAUUUACACAAAGUGUUUUCAUGAUUGAGAAUGUUAAUCUAUCAAGGAAAAAUAAAGGAAGUAACAAAGAAAACCGAAGAGAACUGUAAGCUGAGGGGA
rnacentral:lncRNA from 1 species